rnacentral:lncRNA from 1 species
AAAUUUUUAUCAGACAGGCACUGGAUAAAAUGAAUUUCCCGAAAAAUACCGAUCCGAAGUUUUGACUUUCAGAGGAUACAUGGAUGUUUUUUUACUCGUUCUUCAAAAUCUGAAAACUAUAAUCCAUUUGAAUUGGGCUUUGGCCUUUCAGUUCUGGGCUUUUGUUGGAUUCUGCACGCCACAUGCCCAAUGCUCGUGACUUUGUCAACAAUGGCAUCCUUGCAACGAAAAUAUAUAAAUUAAGUUUCGUUUCGUUUAAUUAACACUUUGUUCAGUUUAGGAAACUUUACCGGAAAGAUCUAGACAUUUUUAUCCACUUGCCCAUUCUUUAGAAAGAAAAUUGUCCCAUAUGCAGUAUAGCAUCAAGAUAGAAGGGGUGUCUAAAUUUAGCUUAACUAUCAAGCCAACUAAAAUUAGAAACGUCGUUAUAGAGCUUGCAUUCAACGUCAAGCUUCUUCUAUAGAAUAUCAAAGGAGUCCAUUCAACAAAUUCUAAAUCAAUCAAAAUUUUCAAUCUUUAAAAGCUUAAACCAUGUCCAUUUGCUUUACUUCUUUUGGCCGGUUACCACUUUCCUCUUCCAUGAUCAGAGACCACGCUCUUUUUUUAGUAAAAAUUAUCAUUUGCGAAUGAUAAAAAAAAUAAAUAAAUUGAAAAGCAAACCUUCUUUCCCAAAUUGGAAACUCGCAAUUCUCUUUCUUUCUAUCCCAUUGAGGAAAUUUCUUAUUUCUUAGUUUAUGUUAUGCAUGACAAAUAAGCAGUUUUGACCCAAACAAAAAAAAGGCACUAUGAUCAACAGCCAUUUAUGGUUGAGUGAUGUGAAUGCAAUCCAUCACAAUCUUCUUCACCUGCACAUAAUAGAAGACUAUUUUAUUGUCGGUGCUCCAUCAUGUUUAAUAAAUUUUUUUUUUCCUUUUUAUCGUCUUUCUUCUUAAAGGAUAUGAUCGAACUGCUAUUUUGUCAAAAAUGAUCAAUUAAGUGCUUUUCAAUCUAAGCAAAGAAAAGCUUUUUACGUAGUAACGGAAGAGAUUCUCGAGAAGUUUGAUAUGUUAAGGUAUCCCUUAUGUGAUGUGAAGUUGCGAGGUUCUUGUCAUUCUCUUGAAAUAUAUAUAUAUAUAUAUAUAUAUAUAGAGAGAGAGAGAGAGAGAGAGAGAGAGAGAGAGUUAUUAUCUAGUUAGGUUAAUAUAUGAUACUUUAUAAUGUAUUAUAGUACCACCUUAUUUGUACAAGAAAGAUUCUACUUAUUUCUAAAAAGAUGAAAGAUGUUAAUUUUGAGUUGAUGAAAGAAAUGAUAUUCCUACAAUGACAGUAAAAAAGAAUUUUAAAUUAAAUUAAACGACUAAUCACUGUUAUUUUUUAGGCAAAGAAGCGGUAAGAGUGUUGCCUUUUUAGGGCGGAGGUAACAAAAGAAAAAAUUGGAGUAAAAUCCAGUAAUUCUCUUAGCCGCAACAAAUCAAUCAUGCAUCUCUAACCAUGUCAAAUAAUCAAAAAAACUUUCCUUACUUAACCAACAAAGUCAUAAAAUACACAGAUAUAGACAUUUAAAACACCUAAUUAUGGGCCAAACAAAGUCAGAAUCAAAUUGAAUAAUGCAUCUACUUAAGGCAAAUCCCACCCAAAUAUCCAACCUAAUUGUGUGUAAGUCAUGACCUGUAUUUUCCUUGUCAGUUGCCACAUCAAGAUGGGAACUUUGAACGCGACUGAUCAUAUAACGAAAGCUAGAUGAAAGAUGGUAAUGUUUGUCCAAACUUUUUUAACUUUAAUUUCUAUAAUUUCAAAUUUAAAAAAUUUUCCAUUCAUAUAUACAUAUAUACGCCAAUAAUGAAACCUCAAGAAGCAAGAACCAUUUUUUUUUAUUUAGAGAUAAAUAUGAUAUUCACAAUUCUCAACAACAUGAAUAAAAAAAAAUAAAAAAAAGGUGAGAACAAUAGAGAAGCAAGGAAGAAAGGGAACAAACAACCUUACCAAACAGGUAGAGCGCAUUAUUUUAUUAUCAUCCCCCUUUUGCUUUCCACAUUAAUUAUUCCAAUCCAAAAAGGGUACGCAUGGCUAUAAACCAUUGGCUUUGUCGUGGCCAAUUUAAAGCCUCUACACCUAUUUUGUUUUUUUUUUUUUUUUAUCCCCAGCAAGCUUUCUAAACUUGGAAAGUCUCGGAAACACACUUUAAUUAUUCAAUAAUAACAAUAAUAAUAUAAUUAACCCUAGAGAGCAAAAGAGGACCAGCAUUUGCACUUCUCACUAUUGCAACACAUGCAUCACGCUGCUGCAGUGCCAUGACAGGACCUGUGAACAAUAAUGCAAUGUCCCCGAAAUUAAUAUCCUGUGACAUUUCAAUUCAUUGGUUUUGGUUUAUCAGUUGGGUACCGUCAUAACAUAUGAAACCUACAAGAACCGAAACUUCACCAAGAUUGCUGUAUGCAUGGGCUUGGCAGAAGAUGGGGCUACGGCCUUCAGGUUCAUUAUUAUUUUGUUUAUCUCAAUGAGAAAUAUAUAUCCAGCAGAGUCUCCUUUGUUUUGUUUGGUUUUGGGGUUUCUCUCGACGAACUCCUAUCACCAACAAAGGUGAAAGCAGCUUUCGAUUUGACAUUAUUUGUGGAUAUGAGCUUCGAGGUUCCAAAUCGGGUAAUAAAUGAUUAUGACAAAAAAAUAAGUCACAAGAAAGGUUUUCAAGAAAGGAUUUGAUUAAUUUGUCUAGAGUACGAAAUAAUUCAC